rnacentral:rRNA from 1 species
GGUCUGGCGGCGAGUGGCGAACGGGUGAGUAAUGUAUCGGAACGUGCCCAGUAGCGGGGGAUAACUACUCGAAAGAGUAGCUAAUACCGCAUACGCCCUACGGGGGAAAGGGGGGGAUCGCAAGACCUCUCACUAUUGGAGCGGCCGAUAUCGGAUUAGCUAGUUGGUGAGGUAAAGGCUCACCAAGGCGACGAUCCGUAGCUGGUUUGAGAGGACGACCAGCCACACUGGGACUGAGACACGGCCCAGACUCCUACGGGAGGCAGCAGUGGGGAAUUUUGGACAAUGGGGGCAACCCUGAUCCAGCCAUCCCGCGUGUGCGAUGAAGGCCUUCGGGUUGUAAAGCACUUUUGGCAGGAAAGAAAUCGCAUGGAUUAAUACUCUGUGUGGAUGACGGUACCUGCAGAAUAAGCACCGGCUAACUACGUGCCAGCAGCCGCGGUAAUACGUAGGGUGCAAGCGUUAAUCGGAAUUACUGGGCGUAAAGCGUGCGCAGGCGGUUCGGAAAGAAAGAUGUGAAAUCCCAGGGCUUAACCUUGGAACUGCAUUUUUAACUCCCGAGCUAGAGUGCGUCAGAGGGGUGUGGAAUUCCGCGUGUAGCAGUGAAAUGCGUAGAUAUGCGGAGGAACACCGAUGGCGAAGGCAGCCCCCUGGGAUGACACUGACGCUCAUGCACGAAAGCGUGGGGAGCAAACAGGAU